rnacentral:rRNA from 1 species
GACGUAGGGCGCGAGCGUUGUCCGGAUUUACUGGGCGUAAAGAGCUCGUAGGUGGUUUGUCGCGUUGUUCGUGAAAACCCGCGGCUCAACUGCGGGCCUGCAGCCGAUACGGGCAGACUAGAGGUAUGCAGGGGAGAACGGAAUUCCUGGUGUAGCGGUGAAAUGCGCAGAUAUCGGGAGGAACACCAGUAGCGAAGGCGGCUCGCUGGGCCGUUCCUGACGCUGAGACGCGAAAGCGUGGGGAGCAAACAGG